AGGCUGGUUUCACUUUCACUGUGCUCCCUCAACAGCACCAAGUUUAUUUCCAGGCAGUGGGUGAGCAGGGCUGAAAAGCUGCCCCAGGCUACCAGCCUCCCAGCUGAGAAAGCAAGCAGGGCUUUUAGAUUUCACCUCUCCCCACCUACCAUGGCUUCUGUGCUGUGAUUGCACUCCUGAUUCAACCCCUCCCCUGAUUUCUGUCGGGGAAACUUUGCAUUCGGUCGAAAUUGUUACAAAGUUCAGCUGGAAGUUUCCUUCCCUGUGUGGUUUCUUCCCGGUUCCUCUGGCAGCCCUCCCCAAGGACUUCUGUAAGACAAAGUCGGAAGUUACUUCCUUGGGGACCGAGAGCCCACAGGGGUCUUCCUACUGCUUCUUCUACCCCUGUAUUUCACUCAGCUCUCUAAAUUUGUCUCAGCUCCAGGAAGGCAGGGAUUUCAACCUGGGCAACAAGUCCACAGAACAUGAGAUUUCUGAAGGUGUGUGGGAUACAUCAUGGUUACAUAAAAAUCCUUUCACUAUAGUUCCUGCUUCCCUAUCUUCAAAAUGAUUCCCUGAAGACUUCCGCCAUGACGGUCUAAAGCCUAACCUCUGAACUGUGGAUGGAAAAUUGAACUCCUUGAUGUGAUCUCUGCACAUCAUGCAACCCUAAACCUAAAUAUAUUCUCUGUGUGGGAGCCCCAUUAUUUUUAGUCUAAUACAUUUUAAGUCAUCUUAAAAAAUUAUAUUUUGUUUUCUUUUA
rnacentral:lncRNA from 1 species